AUUGAACGCUGGCGGAAUGCUUUACACAUGCAAGUCGAACGGUAGAGGGGGCAACCCCUCGAGAGUGGCGAACGGGUGAGUAAUAUAUCGGAACGUGCCCAGUCGUGGGGGAUAACGUAGCGAAAGUUACGCUAAUACCGCAUACAAUCUAUGGAUGAAAGCGGGGGAUCGCAAGACCUCGCGCGAUUGGAGCGGCCGAUAUCAGAUUAGGUAGUUGGUGGGGUAAAGGCCCACCAAGCCAACGAUCUGUAGCUGGUCUGAGAGGACGACCAGCCACACUGGAACUGAGACACGGUCCAGACUCCUACGGGAGGCAGCAGUGGGGAAUUUUGGACAAUGGGCGAAAGCCUGAUCCAGCCAUUCCGCGUGCAGGAUGAAGGCCCUCGGGUUGUAAACUGCUUUUGUACAGAACGAAAAGGUUUCUACUAAUACUAGGAGCUCAUGACGGUACUGUAAGAAUAAGCAUCGGCUAACUACGUGCCAGCAGCCGCCGUAA
rnacentral:rRNA from 1 species